AGUAAUGUAUGGGGAUCUGCCUGAUGGAGGGGGAUAACUACUGGAAACGGUAGCUAAUACCGCAUAACGUCGCAAGACCAAAGAGGGGGACCUUAGGGCCUCUUGCCAUCGGAUGUGCCCAGAUGGGAUUAGCUAGUAGGUGGGGUAAUGGCUCACCUAGGCGACGAUCCCUAGCUGGUCUGAGAGGAUGAUCAGCCACACUGGGACUGAGACACGGCCCAG
rnacentral:rRNA from 1 species